rnacentral:lncRNA from 1 species
AGAGCACCUGACACCAUCCAGAGGUUCCCGUGGCUCCAGGCUUCUCUCCAUGCUACCAGCCAAUUUCUGAGCCCUGUCUCUGAGCCAGACCCGUGCUCGGUAUGUACAUGGAGUGCGUUAUUCCAUCCUUACGACCUAGGAGACAGGAACUGCCAAUUCUGUGAGGUAGGGGCCGUGAGCCUCGUUUUACAGAUAAGAAGGAGGAGGCACAGGAGAGGUUAAGUCGCUCAGCCAAAGUUACGGCAGGGAAGUCCCGGGGCAGGGACUCAAACCCAGGCUGUGUGGCUCUGGCUGCCACAGCCUGAGCCCCUAUUCGAGACCGCGCCAAUCACAGCAUCCGUCACACUGUGUUAUGGUUGUUUCUCUCUUCCCCUCCACGGAGCUUCUCCCGGAGGGAGACAGUCGACCAGAAGAGUGAAGAAUGCAGGAAGGGCUGAUUGGAAGCGGGGAGCCUUUGUCUUGCUCAGCUGACAUUGUCCACCAGGUGGCAGUCACAGCUCCCGGAUAAAGUCGUCCCUUUUCAUCUCCCCCCUUCCCCUUUAAGAAGGAAACCCUUUUUUUCCCCCGACGCCGCCUCCCUCAAUUUUUAUUAUUACCAAGAAGUGAAGUGAGUAGCCUCAACUCAAAACACGACUCCCUGCCUGAGCUUUUUGAAAACGGCACGUGGAGAAGGUGCGUCUCCAACCCCCGUGAGCCGCGGCGCAAGCGGAGAGAGGCAGGCGGGCUUGGGGGUGCGCAGCCUGGGAGCCCAGGAUCCAUGACGUGAGAUGGAAUUUCAGCCCACAAAAGAGCACUCUGGGAGGCCGAGGCGCGCGGAUCACCUGAGGUCAAGAGUUGGAGACCAGCCUGGCCAACAUGGCGAAACUCCGUCUCAACUAAAAAUAUAAAAAUUAGCCAGGUGUGGUGGCGGGCGCCUGUAAUCCCACCUGUUCAGGAGGCUGGGGCGGGAGAAUCGCUUGAACCUGGGAGGCAGAGGUUGCAGUGAACCGAGAUGGCGCCACUGCACUCCAGCCUGGGCGACAGAUCAAGACUCCAUCUCAAAAAAAAAAAAAAAAAAAACCACACACAGAAAUUGAUAUAUUUUAAAUGUGUAUGUUAAACAAAUAAAUAAAUGCUAUUAACCCUCAAAGUACAAUGUAACAUCCUUGUGCUCUUGUUGAGAAUUAGGGGAAGAUUGGAUUCUUUGUGGGUUACCACAGAGGGUGUGAUAAUGGUACCAAGUUGAAAGGUGUUCAGGGCUCAAUGCU